rnacentral:rRNA from 1 species
CAGCAGCAGCCACGGUAAUACGUAGGGCGCAAGCGUUGUCCGGAAUUAUUGGGCGUAAAGAGCUCGUAGGCGGUCUGUCGCGUCUGGUGUGAAAUCCCGAGGCUCAACCUCGGGCUUGCAUCGGGUACGGGCAGACUAGAGUGCGGUAGGGGAGACUGGAAUUCCUGGUGUAGCGGUGGAAUGCGCAGAUAUCAGGAGGAACACCGAUGGCGAAGGCAGGUCUCUGGGCCGCAACUGACGCUGAGGAGCGAAAGCAUGGGGAGCGAACAGGAUUAGAUACCCCCGUAGUCCCUGUCUCUUAUAC